rnacentral:rRNA from 1 species
GACGAACGCUGGCGGCGCGCCUAACACAUGCAAGUCGAACGGGCUUAUUGUGUGCUUGCACAUAAUAAGCUAGUGGCGGACGGGUGAGUAACACGUGAGCAACCUACCUAAUAGAGGGGGAUAACGUCUGGAAACGGACGCUAAUACCGCAUGAACUUAAGCUGGGGCAUCCUGGCAUAAGCAAAGGAGAAAUCCGCUAUUAGAUGGGCUCGCGGCCGAUUAGGUAGUUGGUAGGGUAAAGGCCUACCAAGCCUACGAUCGGUAGCCGGACUGAGAGGUUGAACGGCCACAUUGGGACUGAGACACGGCCCAGACUCCUACGGGAGGCAGCAGUGGGGAAUAUUGCACAAUGGAGGAAACUCUGAUGCAGCGACGUCGCGUGAGGGAAGAAGGUUUUCGGAUUGUAAACCUCUGUCUUCGGUGAAGAAAAUGACGGUAACCGAAGAGGAAGCCACGGCUAACUACGUGCCAGCAGCCGCGGUAAUACGUAGGUGGCAAGCGUUGUCCGGAAUUACUGGGUGUAAAGGGAGCGUAGGCGGGAAUGCAAGUUGAAUGUUAAAGCUAUCGGCUUAACCGGUAGAAGCGUUCAAAACUGCAUUUCUUGAGUGGAGUAGAGGCAGGCGGAAUUCCUAGUGUAGCGGUGAAAUGCGUAGAUAUUAGGAGGAACACCAGUGGCGAAGGCGGUCUGCUGGGCUCUAACUGACGCUGAGGCUCGAAAGCGUGGGUAGCAAACAGG